rnacentral:rRNA from 1 species
GGGACGAACGCUGGCGGCGUGCCUAACACAUGCAAGUCGAACGGGGGUAGCAAUACCCCAGUGGCGAACGGGUGCGUAACACGUGAAGAACUUGUCCAUCGGCGGGGGAUAGCCGGCCCAACGGCCGGGUAAUACCGCGUACGCCGUCUGAAGCGCAUGCUUCGGCCGGGAAAGCAGCAAUGCACCGAUGGAGAGCUUCGCGGCCUAUCAGCUAGUUGGCGGGGUAAUGGCCCACCAAGGCGACGACGGGUAGCUGGUCUGAGAGGAUGACCAGCCACAUUGGGACUGAGACACGGCCCAGACUCCUACGGGAGGCAGCAGUGGGGAAUAUUGCGCAAUGGGGGAAACCCUGACGCAGCGACGCCGCGUGUGGGAUGACGGCCUUCGGGUUGUAAACCACUGUCGCGAGGGACGAAAAAAAUGACGGUACCUCGAAAGGAAGACACCGGCUAACUCUGUGCCAGCAGCCGC